rnacentral:rRNA from 1 species
AUUGAACGCUGGCGGCAUGCCUUACACAUGCAAGUCGAACGGCAGCACGGGUGCUUGCACCUGGUGGCGAGUGGCGAACGGGUGAGUAAUAUAUCGGAACGUGCCCUAGAGUGGGGGAUAACGUAGCGAAAGUUACGCUAAUACCGCAUACGAUCUAUGGAUGAAAGUGGGGGAUCGCAAGACCUCAUGCUCGUGGAGCGGCCGAUAUCUGAUUAGCUAGUUGGUGGGGUAAAAGCCUACCAAGGCUACGAUCAGUAGCUGGUCUGAGAGGACGACCAGCCACACUGGGACUGAGACACGGCCCAGACUCCUACGGGAGGCAGCAGUGGGGAAUUUUGGACAAUGGGGGCAACCCUGAUCCAGCAAUGCCGCGUGUGUGAAGAAGGCCUUCGGGUUGUAAAGCACUUUUGUCAGGAACGAAACGGUGGGGGUUAAUACCUCCUGCUAAUGACGGUAC